rnacentral:misc_RNA from 1 species
UCCGGUUUGUCACCGGCGGUCCCCUUAGAGUUCCCAACUUAAUGCUGGCAACUAAGGGUAAGGGUUGCGCUCGUUGCGGGACUUAACCCAACAUCUCACGACACGAGCUGACGACAGCCAUGCAGCACCUGUCUCCAGGUUCCCGAAGGCACCCCCACAUCUCUGCGGGGUUCCUGGGAUGUCAAGCCCUGGUAAGGUUCUUCGCGUUGCAUCGAAUUAAGCCACAUGCUCCACCGCUUGUGCGGGCCCCCGCCAAUUCCUUUGAGUUUCAACCUUGCGGCCGUAGUCCCCAGGCGGUUCACUUAAUGCGUUAGCUGCGACACCGAAGGGCAUGCCCCCCGACGUCUGGCACUCAUCGUUUACGGCGUGGACUAC